rnacentral:rRNA from 1 species
CCUACGGGUGGCAGCAGUAGGGAAUCUUCCACAAUGGGCGAAAGCCUGAUGGAGCAAUGCCGCGUGGGUGAAGAAGGUCUUCGGAUCGUAAAACACUGUUGUUAGAGAAGAAAGUGCGAGAGAGUAACUGUUCACGUUUCGACGGUAUCUAACCAGAAAGCAACGGCUAACUACGUGCCAGCAGCCGCGGUAAUACGGAGGUGGCAAGCGUUAUCCGGAUUUAUUGGGCGUAAGGGGAACGCAGGCGGUCUUUUAAGUCUGAUGUGAAAGCCUUGGGCUUAACCGGAGUAGUGCAUUGGAAACUGGGAGACUUGAGUGCAGAAGAGGAGGGUGGAACUCCAGGUGUAGCGGUGAAAUGCGUAGAGAUAUGGAAGAAUACCAGUGGCGAAGGCGGCUCUCUGGUCUGUAACUGACGCUGAGGUUCGAAAGCGUGGGUAGCAAACAGGAUUAGAUACCCUAGUAGUC